UCCUAACUCUCCCAACGAAAACCAAUUUUUUUCAGUCCAGCCCGUCCUCUGAAACCCAGGCCGUGUAUUUACGGUUGCCGCUCUAACUGGAGCCGUUCCGAAGAAUCCUGCCCGGAGAAACAGGUCGCGUUGAUAAAACAUUUCUUAAGGCCGAAUUCAGGGACAGAGCGGUGGCUCCGAUCCAGACGGGCUUUCGGGGAAAUCCGACUCUCCGGGAUUUGUCGCGUAGCGAGAGGGCGGGGCCAGGCCGGGCUUAGCUCGGGGAAGUUGCUGAAGUUGGAGCGAGCGAGGGCUGAGCCUGGCAAGCGCUUUACUCGGGCGGCCGGGGCCUCGCCGUGGGUGUCUUCGCGGGGGCUUCUCCUUUCGGCUCGGGCGGUGCAUGAUGGAAGAAGGAGCAUGGCCACUCAUUUCUCCCUGACCCAGGUACUUUCAAGACUGACUUCCCACCUGUCCUCUGGUCAUCAGGUUAGACUACUCCAGGCUUAUGAGCUGUCAAGUGCAAAUCCAGUAUACGAAAAAUAUUAUCGUCAGGU